GAGUUGCGAACGGGUGAGUAAUGUCUGGGAAACCUGCCUGAUGGAGGGGGAUAACUAUUGGAAACGAUAGCUAAUACCGCAUAAAAGUCGACAUUGCAUGAUGUUGACUUGAAAGGUGCAAUUGCAUCACUAAGAGAUGGACCUGCGUUGUAUUAGCUAGUUGGUGAGGUAACGGCUCACCAAGGCGACGAUACAUAGCCGACCUGAGAGGGUGAUCGGCCACACUGGGACUGAGACACGGCCCAGACUCCUACGGGAGGCAGCAGUAGGGAAUCUUCGGCAAUGGGGGCAACCCUGACCGAGCAACGCCGCGUGAGUGAAGAAGGUUUUCGGAUCGUAAAGCUCUGUUGUAAGAGAAGAACGAGUGUGAGAGUGGAAAGUUCACGCUGUGACGGUAUCUUACCAGAAAGGGACGGCUAACUACGUGCCAGCAGCCGCGGUAAUACGUAGGUCCCGAGCGUUAUCCGGAUUUAUUGGGCGUAAAGCGAGCGCAGGCGGUUAGAUAAGUCUGAAGUUAAAGGCUGUGGCUUAACCAUAGUACGCUUUGGAAACUGUUUAACUUGAGUGCAGAAGGGGAGAGUGGAAUUCCAUGUGUAGCGGUGAAAUGCGUAGAUAUAUGGAGGAACACCGGUGGCGAAAGCGGCUCUCUGGUCUGUAACUGACGCUGA
rnacentral:rRNA from 1 species